rnacentral:rRNA from 1 species
UACGUAGGAUGCAAGCGUUGUCCGGAAUUAUUGGGCGUAAAGAGCGCGCAGGCGGUAUGACAAGUCAGAUGUGAAAGGGGCCGGCUUAACCGGCAAGGGUCAUUUGAAACUGUCAGACUAGAGUGCAGCAGAGGAUAGUGGAAUUCCCGGUGUAGUGGUGAAAUGCGUAGAUAUCGGGAGGAACACCAGUGGCGAAGGCGACUAUCUGGGCUGCAACUGACGCUGAGGCGCGAAGGCUAGGGUAGCAAACAGG